UACAGGGACAUUGAGAGGAAUUAAAUAAUACUAUUUGUGAACAAACACAUUAACGUUAAUUCCUCUACAGGUCAAACGAAAUGCUUAAAAUUACCAUCUGAACCAAAAUCUGUGAUACUUGCUUUGGAAGGAUUCUAGGUUCUUCCCAAGUGAAUCACACCUAAAAGACAAGCAAUGGAAGAGAAAGCUUGAGCACUAUUUAUGUUGGAACCUCACUCAUUUGUCGAUGGAGAUUGAAUUUCCUCUUUGAUCAAGAAAAUUUCGUGUAAAAAUUAAUGGAAUAUGAAAUAAACGCAAUGCAGAUGAGCAAAGACAACAAGAAGUGAAUUUGACCCCCCAAAAUUUCAGAUCAUACUUAAAGCAGCAAUUCACUAAAAGGAAGAGAUACAUUUUGAAUGGAAGUAAUGAGUAAACUCUUGGAUUGUUUAACAAUCCAAUUAAUGAAGAUGGGAAAAUCAUAUGAACAUACUGGAAAAGGAUUUAUAUUACUUUAUGAUUUGGCAUAAAAUGCUGGACAAAAAAAUAACUACAUAAAACUCAUGUAAGCUUUACAAUGAGGGCAUUGAUGACAAACGGGUUAAUGAGUAUCAUCAACUCAAAGAGAAUUUAAGGUUAGUCAUUGAACAAAAAAAAUUGAAAUGACCUGAAAUCUUGUAGUUUAUACAUGAAAGAAACUUGAUAGAGAUUUCCCCAAAUUUGACAACAAUCCUACAAAGUUACAUGACAAUACCAAUAUCACAUUUAACGCUGAAGGAAAAUUCCUAAAACAUCAUUAAUAAAAAACAAAUUUUGAUCAACCACGCUAGAAGAAAAACUGAAUUAUCUUUCCAUUUUCUCUAUGGAAAAUAAUACUAUAAAAUCAUUGUCAUAUGAAGAGGCAAUCAAAUAAUAUACAGCAAAAUAUUUCAGAGGAGUGUCAGGCAGUUAAUAAAAAUAUUAUUAUGUUAUUUUAUCAUGUUAUUUUUCUGUAUUUUCUAAUGUUUACAGAAUGUAUUUUCUUUAAAAAUUUUAAUUUAUCAUAAUUUCUUCUUUCAGUCUAAAUAAACAUUCUUGUUUAC